rnacentral:rRNA from 1 species
AGUACUAAUUGGAGGACCGAACCCAAUACUGUUGCAAAAGUAUGGGAUGAGCUGUGGAUCGGAGUGAAAGGCUAAUCAAGCACGGAGAUAGCUGGUUCUCCCCGAAAACUAUUUAGGUAGUGCCUCGUGUAUAACUCAUUGGGGUAAAGCACUGUUUCGACAAUGGGGGUUUUACGACCUUACUGACUCGAUGCAAACUCAGAAUACGAUGAAGUUCGAUCACGGGAGACACACUGCGGGUGCUAAGGUCCGCAGUGGAAAGGGAAACAGCCCAGACCGCCAACUAAGGUCCCAAAGUCAUAGCUAAGUGGGAAACGAAGUGGGAAGGCCCAGACAGCCAGGAGGUUGGCUUAGAAGCAGCCACCCUUUAAAGAAAGCGUAAUAGCUCACUGGUCGAGUCGGCCUGCACGUAAGAUUUAACGGGGCUAAGCUAUGCACUGAAGUUGCGGAAUAUAUUUAGUAUAUUGGUAGGGGAGCGUUCUGUAAGCCGAUGAAGGUGAAUUGAGAAGUUUGCUGGAGGUAUCAGAAGUGCGAAUGCUGACAUGAGUAACGUAAAAUAAGUGAGAUUCUUAUUGGCCGAAAACCCAAGGGUUCCUACGCAAUGUUAAUCAACGUAGGGUAAGCCGGCCCCUAAGGCGUAGCUGAAGAGUGAAGUCGAUGGGAAACAGGUUAAUAUUCCUGUGCUGCUUAUAUGAACGAAGGAGGGACGGAGAAGGUUAGGUAGGCCUGGCGAAUGGUUGUCCAGGUGAAAGUAUGUAGGUAGGAAUGCUAGGCAAAUCCGGUGUUCUGUUGAUCUGAGAUACGAGACGAAGUUAAACUUGUUUGACGAAGCUAUUGAUACCAUGCUUCCAGGAAAAGCUUCUAAGUAUAUUGUAUAAGUGACCGUACUGUAAACCGACACUGGUGGGUAGGUAGAGAAUACUAAGGCUAUGAGAUAACUCUGGUGAAGGAACUAGGCAAAAUGACACCGUAACUUUGGAAGAAGGUGUGCCCUUGAUGGUGAUGAGACUUGCUCUUUGAGCUGUUGGGGGUUGCAGAUACCAGGUGGCUGCGACUGUUUAUCAAAAACACAGCACUCUGCGAAAUCGUAAGAUGAAGUAUAGGGUGUGACGCCUGCCCGGUGCUGGAAGGUUAAUUGAAGGGGUUAGCGCAAGCGAAGCUCUGGAUCGAAGCCCCAGUAAACGGCGGCCGUAACUAUAACGGUCCUAAGGUAGCGAAAUUCCUUGUCGGGUAAGUUCCGACCUGCACGAAUGGCGUAACGAUGGCCACACUGUCUCCACCAGAGACUCAGUGAAAUUGAAAUCGCUGUGAAGAUGCAGUGUACCCGCGGUUAGACGGAAAGACCCCGUGAACCUUUACUAUAGCUUUGCACUGGACUUUGAAUAUUUAUGUGUAGGAUAGGUGGGAGACCAUGAAGCAGCUACGCCAGUAGUUGUGGAGUCGUCCUUGAAAUACCACCCUUGAAUAUUUGAAGUUCUAACUCAGGAGAGAUUCGAGGACAGUGUAUGGUGGGUAGUUUGACUGGGGCGGUCUCCUCCUAAAGAGUAACGGAGGAGUACGAAGGUGCACUCGGUACGGUCGGAAAUCGUGCCAAGAG